rnacentral:lncRNA from 1 species
GGAGGUCUGGAGUUCAAGUCUCUAUGCGAGCCAGGGAAAUAUUUUUUGUUGCUUUGCCGUGUGGCGUGGUGGAGUCCUAGUAAAAUUGAAAUUUAAAGUAGUGGAGUUUUUGUGGGAGGUUAGGGAGAGAAUUAAGGUUAUGAGUAGCCAGAUUUUUAGGCAUUAGCUUUUUGUUUAGUUUUUUUUUCAAAUUUCAGACUUUUUUCCACCUUUCUGACGUUUUCUCUAUUCCCCCCCACUCUUAAUUUUUCGUUUUCCUCUUUUUUCUAAAUAAUAAAUCCUUGCUGCUGAAUUUCCUUUGAAUUCCCCUUCCGUUUUCGUUGUGUUUCUUCAUCUUUUCCCCUUUGUGCAAGCGUGCAAUUGUGUUGUACGGUAAGUUUCCGUUUUGUAAAACUCGAAUGUUACUCUAGAUAAGGGAUUAAGGGGUGUUUUGUUGACUAUUUAGGAGUCGAUCGUGAGGCUGGAAUUAACAUUCGUAGAUUUGACUCGAAGUUGUGAUCGUUUUGUAAGUGUAUAGGGUAUGUGUUUUCUUGUGUUGUUUGGUGGAGUGGUUUUGGCUUUGAAUUCAUUCUUAACUUUGUUGAACUCUUCAUUAAUGAGAAAUGGUUAUUUUUAC